GCAUCGGUGGUUCAGUGGUAGAAUGCUCGCCUGCCACGCGGGCGGCCAGGGUUCGAUUCCCGCCGAUGCA
rnacentral:tRNA from 1 species